UGCAAAUGAUAAAUUCUGCCUUGCACAGGCGUGCUGGCUGCAGGGCAGUGCAAAUUCAAUCCUUUUCAAGUCUGGCCAAAAACAUGCCCCAAAUUAAGAGAUUGCAGCCUAUUUACAAUACAAAAUAAAAUAACUCUAGGAGGGCUUGGUGGUGGUAUGAAUAAAUGCCGUUUAUUCUCUUUCUGACGGGAUAAUUUUCAAAGCAGUGAUUUUUAUAAAAACUCAGGAAGAAAACAAUUUUGUUUCAUUUCCAUAACAGAAUCCAGACCUUGAGCUUCACCCUGCGAUCAGUGAUUACACACACACUGCACCGUUUCGGCUGCAGCGGCUCCUGCUGUCCACCGGCUCCCGUCCUCCCUGCCUGUAACCGUCUGUGGUGAUUCGCGGCACUGCAGGACCAUGAUGGCCCGGAUCUGCUCGGACGCUCCGCCUCAGCUUCUCAUGGCCGCCCUCGCUAUUGCCACCCCUGCCCAGGCUGCAUCAAGGAGGUCAGGGGCCAGGGGAGAACUCUUUUGUUAUUGAGAAGUUUGAUUGCAAGACCUGACCCUUCCUGUGUGGACGGAUGGGCAGAUGCCCAGACUGGAAAGUCCUUGUGAACUUAUGCGCCCAGGCCAGGUCCAUAUCAUCAGUUCGUAGAAGCUGGCACAGACCAGUGAUUCAUAUGCCCAGGCCAGGUCCAUAUCAUCAGCUCACAGAAGCCAGCACAGCCCAGCGAGUAGCCCUACAGACUCCACGUGGCCCAUGAGUAUCACGGUCA
rnacentral:lncRNA from 1 species